rnacentral:rRNA from 1 species
UACGGGGGGAGCAAGCGUUGUUCGGAUUUACUGGGCGUAAAGCGUGCGCAGGCGGUUGUGCAAGACAGAUGUGAAAUCCCCGGGCUUAACCUGGGAAUUGCAUUUGUGACUGCACGGCUAGAGUGUGUCAGAGGGGGUAGAAUUCCACGUGUAGCAGUGAAAUGCGUAGAUAUGUGGAGGAACACCGGUGGCGAAGGCGGCAUCCUGGACCAAUAUUGACGCUGAGGAGCGAAAGCCAGGGGAGCAAACGGG